rnacentral:tRNA from 1 species
GCAGACGUAGUUCAACUAGCAGAACAUCGCGCAGGAGAAGAUGUUGGUGCAAAUCCAACCGUCUGUA